rnacentral:rRNA from 1 species
CCUACGGGAGGCAGCAGUAGGGAAUUUUCGUCAAUGGGCGCAAGCCUGAACGAGCAAUGCCGCGUGAACGAGGAAGGUCUUCGGAUCGUAAAGUUCUGUUGAAGGGGAAAAAGAGCGGAGAGAGGAAAUGGUCUCCGAUUGAUAUUACCCUUCGAGGAAGUCACGGCUAACUACGUGCCAGCAGCCGCGGUAAUACGUAGGUGGCGAGCGUUAUCCGGAUUGAUUGGGCGUAAAGGGUGCGUAGGCGGCCUGCUAAGUCUGGAGUGAAAGGUACCGGCUCAACCGGUACAGGCUCUGGAAACUGGCGGGCUAGGGAGCAAGAGAGGGCGGUGGAAAUCCAUGUGUAGCGGUAAAAUGCGUAGAUAUAUGGAAGAAAACCAGUGGCGAAGGCGGCCGCCUGGACUGUUGACUGACGCUGAGGCACGAAAGCGUGGGGAGCAAAUAGGAUUAGAUACCCCAGUAGUC